UACGAAGGGGGCUAGCGUUGCUCGGAAUCACUGGGCGUAAAGGGUGCGUAGGCGGGUCUUUAAGUCGGGGGUGAAAUCCUGGAGCUCAACUCCAGAACUGCCUUCGAAACUGGCGAUCUUGAGUCCGGGAGAGGUGAGUGGAACUGCGAGUGUAGAGGUGAAAUUCGUAGAUAUUCGCAAGAACACCAGUGGCGAAGGCGGCUCACUGGCCCGGUACUGACGCUGAGGUGCGAAAGCGUGGGGAGCAAACAGG
rnacentral:rRNA from 1 species